rnacentral:rRNA from 1 species
AUUGAACGCUGGCGGCAUGCUUUACACAUGCAAGUCGAACGGUAACAGGCCGCAAGGUGCUGACGAGUGGCGAACGGGUGAGUAAUGCAUCGGAACGUGCCCAGUCGUGGGGGAUAACGCAGCGAAAGCUGUGCUAAUACCGCAUACGAUCUAUGGAUGAAAGCGGGGGACCGUAAGGCCUCGCGCGAUUGGAGCGGCCGAUGUCAGAUUAGGUAGUUGGUGGGGUAAAAGGCUCACCAAGCCAACGAUCUGUAGCUGGUCUGAGAGGACGACUAGCCACACUGGGACUGAGACACGGCCCAGACUCCUACGGAGGCAGCAGUGGGGAAUUUUGGGACAAUGGGCGCAAGCCUGAUCCAGCAAUGCCGCGUGCAGG